rnacentral:rRNA from 1 species
CAGUAGCCGCGGUAAUACGAAGGGGGCUAGCGUUGCUUGGAAUGACUGGGCGUAAAGGGCGCGUAGGCGGCGAACAAAGUCAGGCGUGAAAUUCCUGGGCUCAACCUGGGGGCUGCGUUUGAUACUUGAUUGCUAGAGUGGGGAAGAGGGUUGUGGAAUUCCCAGUGUAGAGGUGAAAUUCGUAGAUAUUGGGAAGAACACCGGUGGCGAAGGCGGCGACCUGGUCCUUGACUGACGCUGAGGCGCGAAAGCGUGGGGAGCAAACAGGAUUAGAUACCCCGGUAGUCCCUGUCUCUUAUAC